GAUCCUGGCUCAGGAUGAACGCUGGCGGCGUGCUUAACACAUGCAAGUCGAGCGAAGCACUCUGCUUUGAUUCUUUCGGGAUGAAGAGCAUUGUGACUGAGCGGCGGACGGGUGAGUAACGCGUGGGUAACCUGCCUCAUACAGGGGGAGUAACAGUUAGAAAUGGCUGCUAAUACCGCAUAAGACCACAGCACCGCAUGGUGCAGGGGUAAAACGUACCGGUGGU
rnacentral:rRNA from 1 species